CAAACCUCUAAUCGAAAAAAACUACCCGCUGAGUUUAACAUAUCAAUAACCGAAGAAA
rnacentral:rRNA from 1 species